rnacentral:rRNA from 1 species
UCGACGGUAACGCAAUUUCGGCGUUACAUGAGUGGAGAACGGGUGAGUAACACGCGGGUAAUCUGCCCUGCCCUUCGGGAUAAGCCUGGGCAACCGGGUCUGGUACCGGAUAUGAGCUCCUGCCGCAUGGUGGGAUUGGAAAGUUUUUCGGUGCAGGACGAGUCCGCGGCCUAUCUGCUUGUUGGUGGCGUACUGGCCUACCAAGGCGACGACGGGUAGCCGGCCUGAGAGGGUGAUCGUCCACAAGGGACUGAGACUCGGCCCAGACUCCUACGGGAGGCAUUAGUGGGGAAUAUUGCACAAUGGGCGAAAGCCUGAUGCAGCGACAAUGCGUGGGGGAUGACGGACUUCGGAUUGAGACUCCUUUCAGUAGGGACGAAGCGAAAGUUCAGUUCCUGCAGAACAAGAACCGGACAACUACGUGCCAAAAGCCACGGUAAUACGAACGGCGCGAGCGUUGUCCGGAAUUACUGGGCGCCACCAGCUCCUAGCGGUUCGUCACAUAGUCCGAAAACCCUCCAGCUCAUCUGUCGGCGUGCAGGCGAGACGCCCACACUUGAACACUACAUGGAAAAACUGUAAAUCCUGGUGUAGGGUGAAAUGCGCAGUAAUAAUGUCAACUCCGGAUGCCUAUGC